CCGCUUCGGCCCUCGCCUAUCCCCCAAUGACGAUCCCCAAUUUCAGGCGUCGCCCAUCGCUGGGUGCUUCUCCGCCAUAGCCCGUAUAACCCCACCCAAUCCCUCGCUCGCUCGCCGGGAUCCAAGGUGGCCGCGGCGGCCGGGAGCAGACGCGCGCGGGAGGAGUAGUUCGGGUCCGCGCCGCUGCCCUUUGCCUCUGCCACCAACGCCGCCUGCGCCGCCUCCCUUUGCCACCGCCACCACCGCCGUCCGCGCCACCGCCCUUUGCCGUCGCCACCACCGCCGUCCCCUCCGCCGCCACCACCACCGUCCAAACCGCUCUCGGCCGUUGCCGGGGAUCCCGGCCGCGCAGCAAAUCCAGCGCAAAGGAUCUCAAGGCCUGCCGCCCUGCCCGGUGCACCCAUCCAUAGGCACAUGUUCUCCAUAGUUCCAUUGGAUCCCUUGCCGCCUCUCCUCUUUCCCUCGCUGGAGAAGCCUUUUUCAUCGUGGCUUGCCCUGGAUGCUAGAUUCUGCAAUUCCUCACCUGCAGUAUGGAAGUGCAUCUGCACCUGGGGCGCUAGCUGCUGAUGGCCAUAGAUAACAGCAACGUGUACGAGCGGAAGGCUUUUUCCUGAAGGGAUUGAGAUUACCAGGAUUCAGAUUGGAUCCCUGCUGUGUCAGUGCAGGAGAACUGCUCGAACACGUAGGCAUGACAUGACCGAUGCUGAUUACACCUGGACUGCUUUGACAUAAAAGAUUCCCGGGCCCCUUGACUGAAAUCCUGACUAAAUUGCAAGUUUCCCUUCUUGAAAUUACUGCGUCUGAAGCUUCCAAUCUCACCAACUUCGCUGGAGCACCGUGCGCCCGUGCUCGAGCAGAGGUACCAAUUUUCAGUACUGUUUUUAGGGGCUUCUACGUGAAUCCCAUGCAUGGCUUUGUGGCAUGCAAGACUUUCCUGCUAGACAAGCAAGAAAACAGAGCCAUCACGCUUGCCCUACUGUAGCAGCCGUCAAAGCACCACAGAACCUGGGCUCUCUCAAUGUCAGUUCAUUAGCUGAGCUGAUCUCACAUGCUAACGCCAUGUAAUCUUUUUUCUACAUUCCACAUUUAUGAGUUGGAUUAUAUCGUAGAUUGCAGUUCAGAUCAUUAUCAUGUAUGUUGCUCCUUUGAAAGUUAGACUUCAUAAAGAAGCAAUUUGAUCCGACCACAAUACCUCUGAAUAGAUGCAUCAUGGAUUUGUGGGUUCACCUUCUUAGAAGGUGCAAUUCUGGUGAUGGUGUCAUAAUUGAUAAAUAUAUACAUUGCUUCAUAUGUUGGAUAGUUUUGGCGGCCUUCUUUGUGAGGUACACUUGACUGAUGAGGGCUUAAAAGGGGCCUUGGUUGUCUGUCAACUGAAAACUCUGUUUGUGCACAACCUAUAUCCUCUAUGAGAAGGAACUGGAUGGAGCAAGGUCUAAAUGCCUCAAAUUGCUUAAAGAUAUUCUAUGCUCGGCAAGGAGAUGGAGAGCGAGAAGUAUGGCAGGGUCCUUGAGUGGUAUUCGCUAAAGAAAUACUUGGAGAUCAAAAUCAUUAGAGAGUGAGGCUGCACUCUUAGUGGCAGGCAGAAACAAAGGAUUUAGAUAGCCCGAGCAUUGUAUCAGUAUGCUGACAACUAUUUGUUCCAUGAUCCGUUCAACGCAAUUGAUGCUCAUACAGGAUCCCAAUUUUCCAAGAUCGAUGGUUUCACCGCGGUCGUCGGGAGAAAUAUCAUCAAUGGUAGGGGAAAAGCAGGUAGGCUGAGGCGGGCAACCACACCAAGCGGCCGACCCAAGAAGGCAGCCCUGCAGCUCCGCCUCGUGCCACUCCCCAUCUCUAUGUUUGUGUCAGACCCAGCGCAAGGUAGAGGCAGAAGAGGAGGCCGGGAAGAGAAGCUGCAAGGUAGGAGGCUUUUGAUCUGAAGGCAAGAGUUGGACGAUCUGCUCACAAAGACACACCUUUAUUCUGAAUUUCUACUUGAAAAGAUUGAUCAGUAGCUGAAGUGGAAGAAGAAGAUGAACCUGUAGAAGAGCUGAAAAAAGGACGUGGUAGAAAGAAGGAAGCGAAGCCUAAACAGUAUAAUGAUGUAAUGUCACAGCAGCUGAAUUUCUUCAUAACUGGCAUAGGCAGUUAUCUUCUUAUGUGCUGCUAUUUCUAGAGCAAUUGUUUUGGAGACACGGGAGAAGACUUGGGGCGACGUAGUAGUGUGUGGGGCGGGCGGAGCGUCGGGAAAGGCCACAGCAACACCCGCGCUUCAAUCAAUUACGAUGGCCUCUGAUCGAACCAUACUAAGCAAGUGUAAAGGAAUUGACAAAGUGCAAAAUUGUUCAAAGAAAUAUGACUUGGGGCGACGUAGCAGUGUGUGGGGCGGGCGGAGCGCCGGGAAAGGCCACAGCAACACCUACGCUUCAAUCGAUUACGGUGGCCUCUGACCGAACCAUACUAAGCCAGUGUAAAGGAAUUGACAAAGUGCAAAAGUGUUCAAAGAAAUAUGGCGGGUGGUCCCACAUCUCAAAAUAGAGGGAGAACUCAGUUGUGCCAUUUUAUCCAACUAUAUAUCAAACAUGUGCCUUUUUUGUCAAAGACAAA